rnacentral:rRNA from 1 species
UACGGAAGGUCCUGGCGUUAUCCGGAUUUAUUGGGUUCAAAGGGAGCGCAGGCGGGAGGUUAAACGUGACGUGAAAUGUAGCCGCUCAACGGCUGGACUGCGUCGCGAACUGGCUUUCUUGAGUGGGCACGACGUCGGCGGAAUUCGUGGUGUAGCGGUGAAAUGCCUAGAUAUCACGAAGAACCCCGAUUGCGAAGGCAGCUGACGAGUCCUCUACUGACGCUAAAGCUCGAAGGUGCGGGUAUCGAAC